CCAGCCCGUGUUACCUCCCCACCACUUUACUAAACGUAUCUGCGACGCGGGGUGCCAUUGAUCUAUCGAAAAUCGUGGUGUUUGGAUGUGUAACCUUACUCGAUGCAUUUCGCUAUGCCUAUUACCGUGUGUUACGUACUUCCAUUGCUCUUUCAUUGUUGGCUGACGCGUGGAUAACAUCGAAUAACACAUCGUGGAUAACAAAGAAUAACAAUACCGUAUGAUGUCACAGGAGAUUGACAACCGAUACGACGUUCUGCUAUUUCUGAAUCCAUAUUCGGUUCUCCACCGAAGAAAAUUGCGAAACGAUUCGCAAGUACUUGCGGCCCGCUGCUAAACACGGCGCCAACGACCGUAGUGCUUUUCGUUGUUCGCCAAUAUCUCUAGAUACUUCUAUACACGAGGUGGUUAAAUGGUAGCAGCAGAGCGAAUCUUUCGUCGUUGCGGUGCACCGCAAUUUUCGACCUCUAAUUUUAUGGUUUUUCGUGGCGGACCCAACGGAGAGGAGGUCUGCCCUCUCAACCAGAAAUCCCGCACGGUGAAAUACCUUUCGCAUACGUUUACGUACGUGCAAUUAUCCUGUCGGUUACGCCGGUACACACCGAUUAUUUUCUUGGCGCGUCGCGUGACGAGCAUCGUCCUUUUUCCUUACCCUUUCAACCAUUCGACGAUGGACGAGAAUCUUCUCGAUGGAGCUACCGUGCCAAAGUAUUGUGUUUCAAUGUUUAUUUUUUUCUUUUCUUUCUUUUUUGGUUGGUUGGUUGUUUUUCUGGCAAGUUAACACUCGCGCCUGUUCAGCUUCGCAGACGCUGCGAAAUUGAACACACGCAAGCGCGAAUUUGUAGAAAAGAUCGACGGUAUUCGUUUGAUCGCGAUUUCUCCGUGUUUGUCUAAUGAAAAUUUUAGGUCGAUCGAUCCCUCGGCGAAAGGAGAACGGAAAAUUGAAAGAGCAGCGUCAUAGCCGGCUCGUGAACACUUUUCAUGGCUUGUUCGCGACUUGUUCGACGAGAAUGUUCGUUGCAGGAUUUUUCAAAAAUAGCUGUCACUAAAUUUAAUAAAAAGGCCACAAACUUUUCCAUUUAUUUCUAAUACAGCAUAUGGCUGUCCACGCUUGACCAUCCAAUCUUGUUCGGCUUCAAAAUCAAUAAAAAUGUUCACCAGGCGCAGAUGUACAAUUUUUUAGAAUUUUCAUUCGGUGAUGACUUUUUCUUUCGAAAAUUCGACGAACGAAAAUUGCUGUCGGACAAAUGUGCACAUAUCGUGGACAAUCAUAUCCCGUUUACGAAUCAAUGAAAAGUGUUCAUGUUGGGGCUGAUGAUAAAUAUUGUCAUUUGGCGAUAACGUUUUUUUUUUUUU